AGCUCCAAUAGCGUAUAUUAAAGUUGUUGCAGUUAAAAAGCUCGUAGUUGGAUUUCUGCAUACGAUAGAUGAGCCUAUGCUGUAAUGGUAUAUGUGCUAGUGUCUGUUCGUAGCAUCCUCGUGGAGAGCUUAUCUGGCAUUAGGUUGUCGGGUAAGGGAUCCAUGUCGUUUACUGUGAAAAAAUUAGAGUGUUCAAAGCAGGCUUAUGCCGUUGAAUAUUAAAGCAUGGAAUAAUAAGAUAGGACCUCGGCGGUCUAUUUUGUUGGUUUGCACGCCAAGGUAAUGAUUAACAGGGAUAGUUGGGGGUAUUCGUAUUCAAUUGUCAGAGGUGAAAUUCUUGGAUUUAUGGAAGACGAACUACUGCGAAAGCAUUUACCAAGGAUGUUUUCAUUAAUCAAGA
rnacentral:rRNA from 1 species